rnacentral:tRNA from 1 species
GCCAGAGUAGCUCAGUUGGUAGAGCGGACGCUUCGUAAGCGUCAGGCCGUCGGUUCAAUCCCGACCUCUGGCU